UUUGUUUGUAUUAGGCCAAUAUCUACAGACAGCGGUGGAGUCCAAUGCAAAUAGAUGAUGGAGGGAAGAUUGCAGUUAAGAGAAGACUUUCCACAUAACACAACAUAAUCCACAGUACCGGACUCCAGUGGAGAUUAGACAGAUAGGUCAUAAGAAAAUAAAAAGAAGGGUUUAGUAUGCUGAAAACUGUGUGAGGGGAUGUCCGCGUUCCAAAACAGACAAUCCGACAAGCUUGCCUGUUUCCUGCAGGAGGAGGCCAGAUGUCAGAACAAGCAGCAACCUAGCGGAGAAGACGGAGGGGCCGAAAACUUGAAGUUCAUCCAACGGCCACCAUCCGCACGGAGCUACGUGUUAAAAGGACCAACUUCACGGCCUACAAAGCAGGACAAAUGCAGCGGUGGUCAUAAUGUUACUUCACUACGUUAUUUACAGCCGUUACGAUACGCUAUGACACCCACCCGAUGUGAAACACAUGUAAACACUCCGGUGACUUUGCUGCAUUAAAAUGAUUCAUCCUUUGGGGACGGUGCAGCAUGUCUGUGAACGCUGCAUCGCCGAUGAUCCAAACGUUAUCGAGAGGCCACAUCAGCUCAGGUGAAGUGCGACCGGGCCUCAGCAGCUGAUAGAGCUACAGAUACACGCACCUCUGCUUUCAACUUUAUUGUUUCGUAUUCACCAGUGUUCAAUAGGUUGCAGAUGCUGAACACCAUUACAACACAGGAAAUUGUGUUGAUAAUAAAGACGAUGGUUUUGGCAUGUGGCCACACUUCCGUGCUCGACAGCGUGGAGCGAAGCAAAGGGCCCGAUCCCCUUAGGAACAAUAUACAUGUCAUCACAUUUUAAGGCAUCUCAUUUUCAAGGCCUGGCCCUUUUAUGUUUGUCGAGGUGUUCAGAGGUCCCUCUUGUAAAUUUGAUUGGCACGGCAAUAUAAUUGAAAAGAACCUAUUGGCAGUGGCACCUGUGACAAAUUGUAAAUCAGCUGAGUUCUUCUCCUCGGGCCGAACGUGUAAAACCUUGUGAAUGAGUCACAGAACUACACCACGGAUCUGCCAAACACAUUUACGCGCUGGGCCGGCUCGCCAAAUACAACACGGGGAUCCACGAAACGUGCAAGUGAAGCGUGCACAUCCGUGUGAAAGCCCCAAAGAGAUUCUCCUCAGUUUUACUCCAAAAGAUUAACGCAACCGCUUCUUCUGAAAUCGAAAAAUCUACAAUGUUUGUGGUGCAAGAGGAUUGGAGACAAUAGGUUGAACCAGUUGAUCCUUUAUUUUUAUUUCCCUCCUGUUUAUUUCCCUUUUUCAAGCAAUGGGACUAUAAUAGAAUGAGGUUGUUGUUUGGUUCACUGCUCUUUCUUGUUAUGAAAUUCCACAAUUUCGAGUCAAAUUGUACCUGUGUUUCAUAUAGAAUUUUCGCCCCUGUAAGUGAUAAACCUGAAAAGUAAAGAUAGGAAUUCAUGAUGAAAGCCACAUGCACCUUUCAGUGGUGGGAAUCUUCACUGUGGUAAAGAUACGAUCCCUCUCAACAAUUUGAAUAUAAAUCGUCCAUGCAUCUUGAUGAAUUAAAUCCUCCAUUUAAUAUA